rnacentral:lncRNA from 1 species
UUAUAAAAAAAAAUUUAUUAAGAUUCUAAUAAACAAACAAAACUUACUAGGAGGAUGAUGAGAUACUUGUUCAGCAAUAAAUGAAAGCUGAUUUUCUUUGCACCAAGCCACUCCUGACUUACGACCUGCAUGGAAACUGCAUAAGUACCAACGAACUACUUGAACCAUCCUAUCUUUAGGAGUAGGCAUAUCUGCUAUGCUAAAACAUAAAAUAUUGUAAAAUAUUGUAAAAUAUUGUAAUAUAUUAAAAGUUUCAAUAAAUUUGUAAAAAAUUUUUACUAAA